UGGCCUCCUCCUCUUCCUCCUUGGUCUUCAACCGAAAGCAAGGGAGCAAGAAAGAUCUCUUGGCGGUCCUCUUCUUCCUCCUUCGUUUGGGAUUCGACGCAAGGGAAAGCAAAGGUUGCAUCUAGCCUUCUUGUUCUUCUUCAAGAUCCCUUCUUCUUCCUCCUCCACUCAAGCACAAUCAAGGGUUGAUUGAAAGAGAGGAGAUCAGCCAUCAAAGCUAUCUCUGCAAGGGAGCUAGCACCCCGGUGAGAUAGAAAGCUUGGAUCGGAUCCUGCUUCGUGUGGAUACCUGUAGAGGCCGGACGUUUGAACGGCUUCAAGCGAACCCUCUUCCAAAACCACGAAUUCAGAUUUGCGGUGAUCAUCUACCCGCGCAAGGUGAAGAUUUGAUCUUCCUAAUAGUUUUAAAAAGUUUUAAUUCUUA
rnacentral:lncRNA from 1 species